GAGGAGAUGAUUUCUUUGGUGGUGGUGGUGAAGUGUAGUAAUAUGGUGAUGGAGGAGAUUUCUUGGGUGGUGGAGGAGAGCUAUAGUAGUAUGGUGGAGGUGGUGACUUAACUGGUGGUGGUGGAGAAGUGUAGUGAUAUGGUGGAGGAGGUGAUUUCUUGGGUGGUGGAGGAGAGUUGUAGUAGUAUGGUGGAGGAGGUGACUUAACCGGCGGUGGUGGAGAAGUGUAGUGAUAUGGUGGAGGAGGUGAUUUCUUGGGUGGUGGAGGAGAGUUGUAGUAGUAUGGUGGAGGAGGUGACUUAACCGGCGGUGAUGGAUAAGUGUAGUAGUAGUAUGGUGGAGGAGGUGACUUAACCGGCGGUGAUGGAUAAGUGUAGUGAUAUGGUGGAGGAGGUGAUUUCUUGGGUGGUGGAGGAGAGCUAUAGUAGUAUGGUGGAGGAGGUGACUUAACCGGCGGUGGUGGAGAAGUGUAGUGAUACGGUGGAGGAGGUGAUUUCUUUGGUGGUGGAGGAGAGCUAUAGUAGUAUGGUGGGGGAGGUGACUUAGCCGGCGGUGGUGGAGAGUUGUAGUAGUAAGGUAGAGGAGGAGACUUCUUUGGGGGUGGUGGAGAG
rnacentral:lncRNA from 1 species